AACGAACGCUGGCGGCAUGCCUAACACAUGCAAGUCGAACGAGCCCUUCGGGUCUAGUGGCGCACGGGUGCGUAACGCGUGGGAACCUGCCCUUAGGUUCGGAAUAACUCCCCGAAAGGGGUGCUAAUACCGGAUAAUGUCUACGGACCAAAGAUUUAUCGCCUUUGGAUGGGCCUGCGUUGGAUUAGCUCGUUGGUAGGGUAAAAGCCUCCUAAGGCGACGAUCCAUAGCUGGUCUGAGAGGAUGAUCAGCCACACUGGGACUGAGACACGGCCCAGACUCCUACGGGAAGCAGCAGUGGGGAAUAGUGGACAAUGGGCGAAAGCAUGAUCCAGCAAUGCCGCGUGAGUGAUGAAGGCCUUAGGGUUGUAAAGCUCUUUUACCCGUGAUGAUAAUGACAGUACCGGGAGAAUAAGCUCCGGCUAACUCCGUG
rnacentral:rRNA from 1 species